rnacentral:rRNA from 1 species
UGCAAGUCGAGCGAAUGGAUUAGAGAGCUUGCUCUUAUGAAGUUAGCGGCGGACGGGUGAGUAACACGUGGGUAACCUGCCCAUAAGACUGGGAUAACUCCGGGAAACCGGGGCUAAUACCGGAUAACAUUUUGAACUGCAUGGUUCGAAAUUGAAAGGCGGCUUCGGCUGUCACUUAUGGAUGGACCCGCGUCGCAUUAGCUAGUUGGUGAGGUAACGGCUCACCAAGGCAACGAUGCGUAGCCGACCUGAGAGGGUGAUCGGCCACACUGGGACUGAGACACGGCCCAGACUCCUACGGGAGGCAGCAGUAGGGAAUCUUCCGCAAUGGACGAAAGUCUGACGGAGCAACGCCGCGUGAGUGAUGAAGGCUUUCGGGUCGUAAAACUCUGUUGUUAGGGAAGAACAAGUGCUAGUUGAAUAAGCUGGCACCUUGACGGUACCUAACCAGAAAGCCACGGCUAACUACGUGCCAGCAGCCGCGGUAAUACGUAGGUGGCAAGCGUUAUCCGGAAUUAUUGGGCGUAAAGCGCGCGCAGGUGGUUUCUUAAGUCUGAUGUGAAAGCCCACGGCUCAACCGUGGAGGGUCAUUGGAAACUGGGAGACUUGAGUGCAGAAGAGGAAAGUGGAAUUCCAUGUGUAGCGGUGAAAUGCGUAGAGAUAUGGAGGAACACCAGUGGCGAAAGCGACUUUCUGGUCUGUAACUGACACUGAGCGCGAAAGCGUGGGGAGCAAACAGGAUUAGAUAC